AACGUUUUAACAAAAUAAUAAUAAAAAUAUAAAAGAGAAGGUAAAAAAAAGAGAAACUGUUUCUGAAAGCUUUCUCUAGAGAACUCGUAUCUCUGUAUAAAUGACCAUAUGUCAUUCUAUUAAAUGUUAUAUCUGAUAAAAAAAAAGAAAAAAUAUAUAAUUAUAAAUUAAAUAAUAUUUUUCUUCAUUUGACAGAACUUUUGAAAGUCUCUCUCCGUUGAGGCUGGUCUUAGCUUCAGAGAAAAACACAUCUGGAAAUAUAUAAACUACGCUACUAAACUUACUAUGUUAUAACACCAAGUUUUUUAAAAAAUUGUACCAAAGUCAACCAUAUUCAAUAACUAUACGUGAUAUAUGUGUGAACAUUAGAAAAAAGAAAAAAAUAGUUUG
rnacentral:lncRNA from 1 species